rnacentral:tRNA from 1 species
GGGGUUAUAGUGUAGUGGUAUCACGGUUCCCUCCAGAGGAACAGAUCGGGGUUCGAUUCCCCGUAACCCCA